UAUGAUAAAUUUUUGCUGAUAAUUGAAUUCAAGUCAUGGUUAAAAUAAAUUCAAACCAACAACUGUUUGAAUUUGAUCAUACCCCCACAUGAUCUGAAACUAUAAGAAAACUGGUGGUUGCAUUGAGCAAGCUAUGAACUGCAUUUACAUAAGUUCUGCAAAACAUCAGAGGGCUAGAAACAAGAUUUAUGUUAACCUCAAGCACAGUGACGGUAAACCUGACACUAUCCCUGCUCCAAACCAAAACUUACAAGGCUUCCUAGCCUCUCAUCUCUCGCUCCUUUCUUUCUGUACACACUUUAAUUAGUUUCCGUUAACUAGUUUCAGCUGAGUCCAAAGAUACCACUUCACUUCGUUGCUCAUUUUUCACUAGAUUGUUUAAGAGUGUUCCUCUCUAGGUCUGGCUGUGACACAAAAUUCAUUACCACCUUCACCAUUUUCAUCACUGGAUGGACUUGCAGUCUCUGGGGUUUUCUGCUUCGAGUUGAUUCCAAUCCUCAGAGUUUUGAUCUUUAACUUGUCAGUAGAUUCUUUGCUAUCACCUUCUGAGCCAUUGUCAGGCCUAGAUGUAUCAUCCAUUACUUUGUUAGCAACAAUAGGUUCAUCCUGCGCAGCAGCACCUUUAGAUUUUCUAGCUUUCUUCCUGGAAGCAGUGGCAGCUCCACUCCUUUUGAAAUCAACUUUCAGUUGUUUUGUGGACUCUGAAAUCAACUUCCCCUUUUGCUUUCCUGGUCUGGUCAUAGUACAUUUCACAAGGUUAAAAAAUUUAAGAGCAAACAAAAGAUAUGGUAGUAAAUAAUCAUAUGUAUAUAUUAUAUAUAAAUUAUGAGGCAAACAUCUUAUUGAGCACUUACUAUCAAUGGGAAUGGUCACUUUGUGGUUAUUUUACAGCAAAUUGAUCCUGUUCAUUAUCACAAUUCCUAUUAACUAUAUAUUUCUCAAGGCAAUUAAAAAGAGGAGAGAUUUUUCUUCUUGAUUUUGCAUCAUAACCCUCUUUAAAAUGUCCUUACCUCACGGAUUUGGAAUCAAAAUGUAAGAAAAUAAUUAUUCUGCACUAACAAGGCAAAAUAAUAACACAGUGGGAGAGGCAGGACAGUCCUUCAGUAUUUCUUUUUCCAAUAAGGAAAUAAACAACAGAAAAGGAAAAGAAUUGUUCAGAACAUCAGAGCCAAAGAACUCCAAAAACAAAUAUCUUUAGUUUAUGUUGUCAAAAAAACAAAAAAACAAAUAAAUUAUUAGUUGCAGAAGGGAAAUGAACAACAAUACUCAAUAGUCAGUAGCUGUAGUAAUAUCAUGGGAACAACAGAACCUACUUAUCAGAUGAAGGAUCAGCAUUUGGAAUAUCAGUUUCUGGCACCUGCUAAUAUUAUCAGCAAAAUUGCAAGGCAAAGAAGUUACUUUGCAGAAAUAUGUUAUUGAGGAAAAAUACCAGAACAUACAAAGGCAAAAAGACCCACUUCACCAGGCAAAAUAUCAUCUCCAACAAGUUCCCACCGUUCCCUUCCCAGAUUUAGUAUCUCUUCAUCCCCAUCAGCAUACAAAACCUUGUGCUUCUUUUUAAUAGGGUCAUAGGAAUCAAGAACUCCUUCAUAAAACAUCUUGUCCCGCGGCCACCAAACUUUUAUUCUGCUACCAACCAAUUGCUCACCAAGAUCAGGAGGCACUUCCUUCCUUGGUGUUCGCUUCCUUUUGCGAUUUGCUUUAGGGGUUUCUUCCCCAUAACUUCCAUCUCUAGAUGAUUUGGUUUUCUUAAUAUUAGAUGCCACAUCUGAAACACCACUAACUGAACUUCUUUUCCUAAUAUCUGUUUGGAAUAGUGAGCUCUCUCUUCUGAUGUUCCUUACCCGUAUCUUUGUCGACUGGGAUGGUUUUUCCUCAUGUUCAUUGAGGAAUCCCGCUUUCUCAUCUGACAACGUAUAUGCAGAAGGCAAAGAUGCCUCUUCAGUAGUCUUUGCAUCAAGUCCAAUUUUACUUGAGCACUUCUGUUGCUUUACUUCUGAGUUGCUUCUUCUUGCAUACUGCUUUCUCAAGCUGACUUCAUCUUCAGCUGGAGUUAUCUCCUCAUUUGCAGUAUUCAACACCUCUCCUUUCAAUAAUUUUAAGGAACUAGGAUCAGCACCUUGAUUUGUAGAGCUUGCAUUUUUCUUUGGCCGGCCUCUUUUGGGAUGACUUCCACCAUUAAGGCUUUGAUCCCGUGAUGGGGAGGAAGAAGCACCUAUGACACUACCAGUUUCUGGUCUCAAUCCCGUGAGUUCUCUCACAUGUGCUGACGACAGAGACACCUUCUUUGGAACUGUAAUUUCUGAUCUUAAAUCUACUCCCUUGUCACGAGGCUUUCUUCGUAAUUUUGCAGUUUUUCUCCCAGAAGAAAUCCAAGAAUGAUCAUAGCCUUCCUCUGGAUUCAUCAAAGAAUUAGGUUUCCGCCCCCUUUUCCUUGGGACAGUCCUUCGUUCCUUUUCCAAUUUGACUUCAGGUUCUGCAUCACCUUGUGCAUCAUUACUUUCACAAUGCUGGAUAAGAGAACAAUGCUCCAGUACUUUUGCGGAAAUAUUAUUGACAUUGUCAGCAUUUCUAGUUGAGGUGUUUCCAUUGGUUGUUAACUUGGGAAUAGCAUCCAUAGCUUGGAAACCUUCUCCAGGAGAAGCAGCAAUGGGUGAUAGCCCCUUAGUCACCAAAUGAUCCCCUGAAGCAUUGACAUGAUCACAUUUGAGGGUAAGAGUCUCAUCCUGGCAUAUAGAAGCAACUAUUGGAGCAUAUUCAUCCAAAGCUAUGCCAAUGGACUGCACUAGCUCCUUGAGAUAGGGUUUAAGUUUAGCAGCACAAUUAGUGAUAACUUUUUCCCCAAGCUUCCAUGCAAUAGGAGAAACACUCUGAUUUUCCUUUCUUAUACUGGCCAAAAGCGGAGUGAGAAGUUCAACUGAUAUAUCUUCACUUUCAUCUAUGAUCAGGGUCAUAAUUGUUUCCAUGGCAAAAAAUACAGCAGGUGGAUGGUUGGACCUAAUGAUCUUCAGGAAGUGUUGGAACAUCUUUAUAAUUAGUUCGUCCAACUCUAGGUCCAACAUCACCAAGCAUGACCUGACCCUUGCAACAGUGUCAAGAAUGGAAACGGCCUUUGUAUAACAGCGACUUGACACAUGAGACAACUUCUCAAAAGCUGCUAUGGUCAAUUGAAAAAUUUCCUUCAUAUGAUCAUCACUGUAAGGAGCAUCAGGUGCAGUUAUUCUUGUAAUCUCACUAAUACAAGACACUACAGAAACCUUCACAUCCGUAUCUGAGUUCCUCAAAAGGGUAUUAGAGAUUAAGGCCUUCAUGGGGGAUAGAAGUGCAUCUUGCAUUGAUCUCGAUGGUGCUUGCUCCACAUUUAUGAGUAAACACUCAAGUUUAUCAAGCAUAUUAAGAAGCUCAUCAAUUGAUGAUGGAGGGUCUAGGAGCCUAUUCCCAGUCUCCUUAAGCUGCUCCUGGAGCUCAAUCUCAUUGAUAGCCAUUUUUACACUCUCGACCACAAAAUCCAAGAACCCCAGAAACAAGAAACUACGUCUCUCAAUUUCUCUCAAUCCCUAUAUUUUUGCACAUUUUCACUCAAACCCACGUCCAUACAGUCCCAUUUAUAGCCCUAAAAGCAAACAAAGCAUUGUUUCCUGCUUACAACUCACCACACUCAGGUGUGAUACGCUAAGUGUAGAGCAUGCAAACAGAAAUAACGAGAAGGCACCUCAGGAAUGGUUAAUUUUAGCCCAUGAGGAGCUUUUGAAGCCGGCGUUGCUUGGUUCUAGACUUCUAGUGCUGCGUUUGGUGUUUUGGGUUUCUCCGUUCCUCCCUUUUAUGGUCCUUUAUAUUGGCAUUUGGUAGUGGGUUUUUGCAUCCCAGUUCAUUGGCGCUUUGUUUUGCUGUUUUCUCUCCUUGUGAGAGCCAAGCAUAUCAAACAACUUUGAUCAUCACUCCUUGGAAAGUAC
rnacentral:misc_RNA from 1 species